AAAGUCUCCAAGCAUUUUGGUGAAUCCCCUCUACCGACUUAUGAACCAGUUUUUGACUGGGAAAAUGAAAGAUCAUUAAUAUUUGGGCAAAGGAUUCCUGAAGCUCAUAUGUCCCAGUAUACGAGCGGUCUGAAGAUUGCUGUGAAAGUCCUAUCAUUGUCAUUUCAAGCUGGACUAGUUGAGCCGUUUCAUGGCACAAUUUGUUUAUAUAAUAGGGAGCGAAGAGAA
rnacentral:misc_RNA from 1 species